rnacentral:lncRNA from 1 species
UCUUAAAACAAUGUGGACCUCCAGACAUGAGUUCAUAGGGAAAGCUUCUCCAAAUCUUCUUCUGAUCUUGGCCAUCAGGCAUGAACCAUCACACAUCAUUCUGACUCACAGGGUGAUUACUGAGUUUUGGAGGCAGGACGACUAUCUACAGAGUAUCAAGCUUCCUCACGACACAAAUGUGGUUACUCACAGUGAUGGCAUGGUUGUUUCCAUCGUGGAAGUAGCUCACAGUGAUGGAUAGGUUUGACUAACGAGGAAUGAGAACCAAAUGACCUUUCCACCUCACCAAGCAGGAUCACUGGAGUGGGCUGGCUUCCUCCACUGGUGCCAUCCUAUCAUCGAAGAGAUCUGAAAGUCUCUCUGGAAUUGCACACACAGAGGCACCUGUGCUUCCCAUUAACACAGUACUUGCAUGUGUUAUUUCUUCCCGCUGGAAUGCUCCCACCCAACCCCCAGAAGAUUGAUUCCUCGCCCCCUUCAAUAUUUGCGUCACAAUUUUUCUGUUCUAUGAAGCUGAUGACCCCUCAAAAUGGGUUAGUGUCUUCUUUCUUUGUUUUUUCAUAGUACCAUAUGCAUUUUUAUAUGUAUUAAUUUUGCGCUCACUUUCUGUUCUUUCUCUUACCUGACUGUGACCUGGAGGGAGUGGUUGUGUCCUUUCUUUUGAAAACCACCUUGUCUUCAUCAUGUGUCAAACAAGACAUAUCUACUAAUAAAUCAAUGAACAUUUGUUUGGUAUCACCCAGGUAGAACAACAGAUUCGUUAGAGUUUCAACCCCCAGCUACUGUCUCACCAUAGUUAGAACAUAAUCCAGGAAUGGUGGCACACAUCUGUAUUCCCAGUACUCGGGAGGCAGAGGCAGGAAGAUCACCUUAAGUUUGAGGUCAUCCUAGGCUACAUAGUAAGUAUAAGGCCCAGCCUAAACUA